rnacentral:rRNA from 1 species
CCUACGGGAGGCAGCAGUGGGGAAUAUUGCACAAUGGGCGCAAGCCUGAUGCAGCCAUGCCGCGUGUGUGAAGAAGGCCUUCGGGUUGUAAAGCACUUUCAGCGGGGAGGAAGGCGGUGAGGUUAAUAACCUCAUCGAUUGACGUUACCCGCAGAAGAAGCACCGGCUAACUCCGUGCCAGCAGCCGCGGUAAUACGGAGGGUGCAAGCGUUAAUCGGAAUUACUGGGCGUAAAGCGCACGCAGGCGGUCUGUCAAGUCGGAUGUGAAAUCCCCGGGCUCAACUUGGGAACUGCAUUCGAAGCUGGCAGGCUAGAGUCUUGUAGAGGGGGGUAGAAUUCCAGGUGUAGCGGUGAAAUGCGUAGAGAUCUGGAGGAAUACCGGUGGCGAAGGCGGCCCCCUGGACAAAGACUGACGCUCAGGCGCGAAAGCGUGGGGAGCAAACAGGAUUAGAUACCCGUGUAGUC